UUAACCCUCCUAAAGGCACCAGGAAGACUACCUGGUUGAUAGGGUGGAGGUCUAAGUACCGUAAGGUAUUCAGCCGACCACUACUAAUUUGCCGUGAGGCUUGACCAU
rnacentral:rRNA from 1 species